GGUAAGUUUACUGCAUUAUGCCCACUGUUAUUCAUUGCCAAUGGUAGUGUUUAGAUGUAGCAAGUAUUUGUUUUAAUUAAGAAGCCAAUGAAAAUUCUCAUUUUUAAUCUACUAAAGUGGAAGUAGCAUGGUGUUCUUAUUGCUUAAGAAGUGGGGGAGAACCUGGGGUUUAAAAAGUUGUUAUUUUCCCUUUGAAGGUCUGAGUGUAUUACGUCC
rnacentral:lncRNA from 1 species